UACGUAGGGAGCAAGCGUUGUCCGGAAUCAUUGGGCGUAAAGCGCGCGUAGGCGGCCCGAUAAGUCCGCUGUGAAAGUCCACGGCUCAACUGUUGGAUGCCGGUGGAUACUGUCGGGCUAGAGUACGGAAGAGGCAAGUGGAAUUCCUGGUGUAGCGGUGGAAUGCGCAGAUAUCAGGAGGAACACCUAUAGCGAAGGCAGCUUGCUGGGACGUUACUGACGCUAAGGCGCGAAAGCGUGGGGAGCGAACAGG
rnacentral:rRNA from 1 species